ensembl:lncRNA
GGAGGGAAAGGCAGGGGAGAGCAGAGAGAGAGGUGAUGGGGAAGACAGGGAGGGAAAGGCAGGGGAGAGCAGAGAGGUUAUGGGGAAGACAGGGAGGGAAAGGCAGGUGAGAGCAGAGAGGUGAUGGGGAAGGCAGGGGAGAGCAGAGAGGUGAUGGGGAAGACAGGGAGGGAAAGGCAGGGAGAGCAGAGAGAGAGGUGAUGGGGAAGACAGGGGAAAGGCAGGGGAGAGCAGAGACAGAAGUGAUGGGGAAGACAGGGAGGGAAAGGCAGGGGAGAGCAGAGAGAGGUGAUGGGGAAGGCAGGGGAGAGCAGAGAGAGAAGUGAUGGGGAAGACAGGGAGGGAAAGGCAGGGGAGAGCAGAGGGAGAAGUGAUGGGGAAGACAAGGAGGGAAAGGCAGGGGAGAGCAGAGAGAGGUGAUGGGGAAGACAGGGGGGAAAGGCAGGGGAGAGCAGAGAGAGAGGUGAUGGGGAAGACAGGGGGAUGGGGAAGGCAGGGGAGAGCAGAUAGAGAAGUGAUG